rnacentral:rRNA from 1 species
ACGGGUGAGUAAUACGUGAGUAACCUGCCCUUGACUCUGGGAUAAGCCUGGGAAACUGGGUCUAAUACUGGAUACUACCUCUUGCCGCAUGGUGGGUGGUGGAAAGGGUUUUACUGGUUUUGGAUGGGCUCACGGCCUAUCAGCUUGUUGGUGGGGUAAUGGCUCACCAAGGCGACGACGGGUAGCCGGCCUGAGAGGGUGACCGGCCACACUGGGACUGAGACACGGCCCAGACUCCUACGGGAGGCAGCAGUGGGGAAUAUUGCACAAUGGGCGGAAGCCUGAUGCAGCGACGCCGCGUGAGGGAUGACGGCCUUCGGGUUGUAAACCUCUUUCAGUAGGGAAGAAGCGAGAGUGACGGUACCUGCAGAAGAAGCGCCGGCUAACUACGUGCC